UACGAAGGGGGCUAGCGUUGCUCGGAUUGACUGGGCGUAAAGGGCGCGUAGGCGGUUUGCACAGUCAGACGUGAAAUUCCUGGGCUUAACCUGGGGGCUGCGUUUGAUACGUGCAGGCUUGAGUUCGGAAGAGGGUCGUGGAAUUCCCAGUGUAGAGGUGAAAUUCGUAGAUAUUGGGAAGAACACCGGUGGCGAAGGCGGCGACCUGGUCCGAUACUGACGCUGAGGCGCGAAAGCGUGGGGAGCAAGCAGG
rnacentral:rRNA from 1 species